GAAAGUUAGGCAACCGAGGAUGACCCAACAAGCAACAUAAACUCAAGUGCCAGCAUUGAAUUUGAUAAUACAGCACGUGCUUUUCUAGGCCAAACCAAAAAGAUCAUCAAACCAAUGGUUACUGGGCCAUUUUGAACUUAUUUGUGAGCUUAGAUUUUAGGAAUUCCUUAAGUUGUUCAAACUAUAGCGUCAGAAUCCAGCAUAAAGAGCAUGUAAAUGGCAAUAUCAAGCAAAAAAAAUGAAAGAUUUUAAGUAUUCUGUAACGUUGAUGUUUACAGGGCAUCCAAAGCGCAUACACACCUUAGUGAACACUCGAAGCAGCAGGGGGCAAGUCAUGCAAUUUCAACAGAAAAAAAAUGUUAAUAACUCAUGAAUAUAUACCUUUGGAUGAGAAAAGAAAUGGCAUUUAUUUAUUCAAUAAAACCAAUUCAAUUAUUAAAUACCAAACAACAACAUGAAAAGCAUCGAGCAAAUUUUUUAAGUUUAAAUACUACUUAAACCUCAAAUCCCAACUUAAUCCAAGCUUUUUUAAAUGAAAAUCCUGUAGUCUGAUGGCAUGAAAUUUGAAAAUACAAUAAUCGAUGUGGCACAUUUACUGGUCCAAGCAAGGACUAGCAUUGGAUCAUACGACCCAGGACCAUUCGGUAUUUAUUUAUUUUUAUAUAUUUUACAGCUGAUACUGAGCAAUACGGGCCAAUAAAUUGCCCAAUCCGCCGGCACAAUAUUGGUCCCAUAGAUGACCGGAACCAGUACCAGACCCAGACUUAUAACCUUGAUCUAGAGUAUAUGUAAAUAUUUCUUAAUCUUUCAUCAAUCCGCACAUCCAUCUCAAGACUAACUUCUUAAACAUGUUAUUUCCUAGUUGUGCAAUAUACAAAUCCAUAAAGCAUGGUUGACCUUGCAACUCAAUGUGUUAUUGACCAUACAAACUAAUAAAGCAUGAACCGUUUGAUGAAGAUUGGUGAUGUGGCAGGUUAAAUAGAAUACUCAUGUAGUUUCAACCAUUGGGUAUGUGAGGGGCUGCGUCAAAAACAAGAUGGUAUAAAGUGUAACUACAAGAUCAUAACCAACAAACGUUGUCGAUGAUCAAUUUUAAAGGUUAUGUUUAAAAAGGAAUCAUGGAGAGAACAGAAAAAGAUAGGGCUAGUCAACUGAACCCGUUCUACAUGUUAUAAUCUUGUAGUUGCAAUUGAUCUUUUAGGUCACAAAUAGGCAUUUUCUUUGCUGUAUUUUCAAGUUUAGCCCACCAUUCUAGAGCUUCUCUUGUUUCUUCUUGUCUUUUUAUCUUAUCUUUGGCCAGAACUCAUCAGUCUAAGAUGAUUCUAGCCACCAGAACUUCCUAAUAGUAUUAUUUGACAGCUGAUUUACAGCACUGCCAAUUUUUCUCUUUGUUCCCUUUUUCUUUUUCAAGCUACAAAAAUUAAUAUUUAUUCUUUUUGGAUUGUAUAGUCAUGCUACAAAGAAAACUAAGCAUUGCCUAAAAGCCGCAAAAAAAGGAGAAUCAAAUUAAAUGUAAAAUACUAUCUGUUGUCAGGUACUACACAGGCAUAAGUAUAGGUCUAAAAAAAGAUUUCAAUUGAGAAGAUAUUAUUCUCACAGAGGGACAAAGAAAUUAUGAUGAAUCAGAUGAGAGGGUGUACCUUUUCACGGUCCACAGGUUCACGCAGGCGAGCUAGUGGGGGAGGACCUCUUGGUUGAGUAGGCAGUGCAUGUAUGGCAUGCGGCAUGCCCAUUGUGCACUUCAGUCAUUCCAGCCAUUUUCCACCUUUAUAGUAGAAUUAGCAAUGGUAUACAAUGCCACUUUAAAUCAGAAACAUAUUCUCAGAAGGAUCAUGAAAACAUAAAGUAAAUUGUUAAGGCAAUCAAAGUAUAGAAUCAAAACAUAAAGCAAACUGUUGAGGUAAUCAAAGUAUAGUAUGAGGAACUCAGUCUCUCUAAGGUUUUCAAUUACAGAAUACCAUAAUACACAUGAAAUCUGCCAUAAGUAGAAACUUUAAAUGGUGUUACAAACUGAUGAAGUGAAAACAAGGAUAGAUAAAAAUGUGAAAUACUUCUCGUGUAUCAGCAUUGAACCUUGAAUGUGCAUUUCAUGAUUUGUUUACAUCACCUAAUUAUCAUGUGUGGUAGUAUAUUGUAUUAUCAAAAUUUCAACAAUAUAAUUCUGCAAGGCCUAAUGGCCUUAGUUUUUUUUCUUCCUCUUUCUCUCUCACUGUAAAUAUGGUUUUACAAAUGCAGAUAGAAUUAUGUGUAAAUAACACUUCCGCAGCAACCUACCUAAUUUUUGUUCAUCUUUAUUGACUAAGCUAACAAGUGCACGCAAAAGUGGGGUGAAUCAAAAACAAAAUUUAACUGUCUGUUGAAAUAAUAUGAAUAUACCCUGAAUACGAAAAACAAUGAAGAUGCACUUCUAUUACAGUACUUGAGAGGUCAGUAUUAAAUUAUAGGCGAGACAUCUGCUAAAGAUGCCCAUAAGAAUCUUUUUUCUUUCUUAUUUUGACAUUCUAGACGAAAUGAUGACUCUAGGAGAAGAAAUCUCAAAUCAUUAUAUGAUGGAAACAUAGUUCCACAUAAAAACCAAAUUUCAAAAUGAUAUAGAUCAGAGCAGCAAACAUCGUUACAGGACCAAAGGGAAAAAUAAGUUCAAACAACGAUCAACAACAUCCAAAAUAGGCUAUAAUCCCAUAUCAAGAACCGUCUCAAACACCUUUCUUUCUCAAUUUUAGAGCCCAUAAGAAGUGAACUUUGACCAUUUAUUGAGUCACACGACCUCUUGACAGAAUUACGUGUGUAAUGUAUGGAACCUAAUUCAAGCAGUUCCACAGCCUCCUCUUCGUUUCUUUUUUUGAGAUGCAAGGAAGGGUAACCCAUUACAUCAAGGUGCGUAUACAGAGAUCAUAGAAAAGGGCUUCUGGUGAUCUUGUUCCAAUAAUACCAUGGAAAUUAUAAUUUCCAAGCUAACAAAACGUACAAUACAAAAGAUAACCAAAAUUUUUGGAUGGUGAAACCGCAAGCGAUUCAAGAAAUCAUCCUUCAAGAAACAACACUGUAACGCUUUCCUUGGUAGCUCGUUUUCUUGAUAGAAUCCCUCAAAGUAACGAGGGCACUAGAACAAUCGAAGAGAACAAACCCUAGCCGCAACCUUCUUCUCCAUGUCCUCCUAACUCUCGCAUCCCUUCUCCCCGAAAUCAAUGGACAAUCCGAAAACCCAGAAAGCGGAGGGUAAUCAGAAACCCUAACACAAGAUCACGCUUCUUUCAUCCAAGAAGCCAGAAAGAUCGCAUCUCUAAGAUGCAGAUCGGUGGUUUGAACAAGGCGAAGAGGUCGAGAGUGGCUUAAUCGCCCAGAAAACCAUCAAAGAGAGAGCGAUCGACGUCGAGACGAGGUGAUCCAAGAUAAAAGGUAACAGCAGCGACGAUUACCUUCUAUGGAUGAGAUGUGCGAGCUGCGGCGGGACUAGGCUUCGGAUGCCGCAAAGUGGCUUCGAAGGCGUACUCGUCGCCUGCGUCCCGCCCGCCUCAUUCACUCGUCGAAUGUAUGUGUGUGUUUGUGUGUGUGUGUGUGUGUGUGUAUAUAUAUAUAUAUAUAUAUAUAUAUAUAUAUA
rnacentral:lncRNA from 1 species